UACGUAGGGUGCAAGCGUUAAUCGGAAUCACUGGGCGUAAAGGGCGCGUAGGCGGCGCGGAUAGUCGGCGGUGAAAGCCCGGAGCUCAACUCCGGGUCGGCCGUCGAUACUUCCGGGCUUGAGCACUGUAGAGGCAGAUGGAAUUCCGGGUGUAGCGGUGGAAUGCGUAGAGAUCCGGAAGAACACCGGUGGCGAAGGCGGUCUGCUGGGCAGUUGCUGACGCUGAUGCGCGACAGCGUGGGGAGCAAACAGG
rnacentral:rRNA from 1 species